rnacentral:lncRNA from 1 species
GGAGGAAGGCAAGGUGCCUUAUCAACAUGAGUAUAAUGCACAAGAGUCAAAGUAGCAACAUUGUUCUUUUUUGUUUUCCACAAGGGGGCAUGUAGAGUGCUUGGAAGUGACUUUGUUUUGGUUUCCUUUUUUAAUAGGGACCUCCUGGUCCACCAGGGCUGCCAGGACCUAAGGGUAAUAUGGGUUUGAAUUUCCAAGGACCCAAAGGUGAAAAAGGUGAACAAGGUCUUCAGGGACCUCCAGGGCCACCAGGACAAAUUGGAGAACAGAAGAGACCAAAUGACAUUGAGUUUCAGAAAGGAGAUCAGGUGAGUGGGAAACUAUAUCCAACUACAAUGAGCAUGUGAUCAAGCUGCAGCCUCUAUUGGUUUGGCUCAUAUAUACCGACAUCCUGCUUACUGCAGAGGUUCUAUUAUUUUUCUCAAAGUACUGAAUAUUUCAGGCCUGAGUACUUUUCAUUUAAUAGAAGGCAUGCCGGUCACAUUAGCUCAGUUACUUCCCUUAGUAAAAUAACUAUUCUUAAGAAACUCCCUUAAAGGAAGUUCGUAGUAACAGUAAAAGCAGUUAAAAUAUUCUCAUUCCUUGGAACACCCAGACUGCGCAUAUCAAAGCUGUCUGGGGAUUCAGAUUCCCAUUAAUCAACCAGCUGUGUCAUCCAUUGUGAAUAAGUCUUUCAAAAAUUUUAACUCAAUUUCUUUUUUUUUUUUUCCUUCCCUCCCCUCCCCCUCCUUUUUUUUUUCAUUAGUGAUACCCUGAGAUCUUUCUUCUUUGUGGUCUGAAUACAGUGCUUUUCCUGUUUCUGGCCUCUCAAAAGUAAAUAUCAAGCCAUAUUAUGACAGUAAGCUUGAACUGUUG